AAAAACAUCGCCUCUCGAGCCCAAUAAGAGGUCCAGCCUGCCCAGUGACACUGUUCAACGGCCGCGGUAUCCUAACCGUGCGAAGGUAGCGUAAUCACUUGUUCUUUAAAUGUGGACUAGUAUGAAUGGCAUCACGAAGGUUAUACUGUCUCCUUUUUCUAAUCAGUGAAACUAAUCUCCCCGUGAAGAAGCGGGGAUAAAAAUAUAAGACGAGAAGACCCUAUGGAGCUUUAAACAAUAUAGCACUUGCCACACACAAUAAAAACUCCAGUGUUAUUAAAUACCUUAAGCAAGCUGACUAUACGUUUUUGGUUGGGGUGACCACGGAGCAUAACACAACCUCCAUGCUGAAAGAAAAUCUUCUAAACUAAGAACCACACCUCUAAGUAUCAAAACAUUGACAUCCAUUGACCCAAUAAACUUGAACAACGAACCAAGUUACCCUAGGGAUAACAGCGCAAUCCACUUCAAGAGCCCCUAUCGACAAGUGGGUUUACGACCUCGAUGUUGGAUCAGGGUCUCCCAGUGGUGCAGCCGCUACUAAAGGUUCG
rnacentral:rRNA from 1 species